rnacentral:rRNA from 1 species
AACGAACGCUGGCGGCAGGCCUAACACAUGCAAGUCGAGCGAUCCCUUCGGGGAUAGCGGCGGACGGGUGAGUAACGCGUGGGAACGUACCCUUUGCUACGGAAUAGCCUUGGGAAACUGGGAGUAAUACCGUAUGUGCCCUUGGGGGAAAGAUUUAUCGGCAAAGGAUCGGCCCGCGUUGGAUUAAGUAGUUGGUGGGGUAAUGGCCUACCAAGCCGACGAUCCAUAGCUGGUUUGAGAGGAUGAUCAGCCACACUGGGACUGAGACACGGCCCAGACUCCUACGGGAGGCAGCAGUGGGGAAUCUUAGACAAUGGGGGCAACCCUGAUCUAGCCAUGCCGCGUGAGUGAUGAAGGCCUUAGGGGUUGUAAAGCUCUUUCAGCUGGGAAGAUAAUGACGGUACCAGCAGAAGAAGCCCCGGCUAACUACCGUG